ensembl:lncRNA
AAAGCUAAAAAGCAAAGGCUUAAACACAGCAAUUUUCAAAGGUCGCUCAUUUGUAAGUUUAGAGGGAAUACAGCUUGUUGAGAAAAGAAAAAAGGACAUUUUGAAAGGCUUACAAUUGUCUUCACCUGUCAGUGGGGAGACUGUGGUGAAGAAACAACCUGUAGAUCCUGUGAUUGACGUUUCAUUCACUCGGCGUGUGCUGCAGUUAAUUCUUACGUCAUUUCCUCAUACACCAACCACUAAACAUAUAUUGGAUUUAUUUCCAAUGACAGUUGCAAUAACCUUUUAAACAUUUGACGAGAUUAAAUUAUAUUUCAAAAUGUGUACUUUUGCAUAUUGCUACAAACAAAGACAUCACUUGCCAGAAUGCUAAUUUAGUUUGGCUAAUUUCUUUCUUUUUACUGUGCCAAUUUGGUCUCCCCAUGCCGUAGAUUAGGAGCGGAGGGGGUCAGGAUGUGACGAUUGGGUUGAGGAGUUUUAAGCUUUAGUAUUUCAAUUCAAUUCUAUUUCAAUUAAUUUUAUUUUUUAUCACAAAAUCACAAAUUACAAAUUUGCCUCAGAGGGCUUUACAGUCUGUACACAUACAACAUCCUCUGCCCCGAAACCCUCCAUCGGCACAGGAAACACUCCCCAAACAAUGAAAAAACCCUUCCAAGAGGGAAAAAAGGGAAGAAACCUCAGGGAGAACGUCAGAGGAGGAUCCCACUCCUGAUGGACAGACUACGAUGACGUCAUGUGUACAGAAUGAACAAUGUAUAAUACAUGAGACUAUAUGACAGAAAUGAUUCAAGGAAUUGCGAGUAGUAAACCAGACGCACAGCAGGACCACUGCAGGGACCACCACCAUCACAUAGAACCACCAUCAGAUAGAACCACCAUCAGAUAGAACCACCAUCAGAUAGAACCACCAUCACAUAGAACCACCAUCACAUAGAACCACCAUCAUAGAACCACCAUCACAUAGAACCACCAUCACAUAGAUCCACCGUCACAUAGAACCACCAUCAGAUACAACCACCAUCACAUAGAACCACCAUCCCAUAGAACCCCCAUCCCACAGAGGCUUGUGGGGAGUUAUAUACAGUAUUAUGAUUAAUAUCUAAAAUAGUAAUGAUGAUGAUGAUGGCAGCAGCAGCAGCAUUUUGAAGAAUUGGGAGUGAGACCCGCUUGAACUGGACGUCUCAACACUAAAGCAAAGCAACGAAUUGUCCUCGUAACAUCUGGCGUCAGAAUAUUGAAACCAUUGUUUUCCAGUGAUGAAAACCAUGGGCAUGAGGUUUGUUGACGGCGAUGUUUGGCGCUCUGUGUCGUGUUUGAGCGCGAGGUGGCUGAGUGCUGUUGCUGCUGUCAGGGGAGAGAGACGGAAGCAUUGUGAGGGAAGGCGCUAUGCAACCUGCCGGCAUAAUGGCAUCCUGACAAACAGCUGCCCAUCCUCCCACAAAUAUUUGUUCACUCUCGCUAUCUACCAUCAUGUCCCUCGUAUCAUUAUUCAAACAGCUUAUAUAAACACCUUCAGCACGACCCACGUGCCGACCAGGCCUUCCACACGGAGUUCCAGGCCCCCCCCCGCUUAAUGGGGCCAGGACUUUUAACAGCAAACAGCCGCAAAGAGGGAAGGGAACCGUAAGUGAACUCCGGGCUGUAAUUCAUUCACAGUGAGUCGUGAGGCAAGUGGCAAAGAGCAUCAUCUAUUCCCAUUCAACAGUGUUACUCCUUCCGUUGUCUUGAUUUAUCUAUGUUUAUAUGUUAGUAGCCUUAUUUCUUUUGCGAGACACAGAAAAUAAAUAUGAGAAUCAUUUUGUCGUUCUUGUCAUCUUUUACGAUGUCUUUGGAUUGUGAACUUUACCAGCCCUUUUCUCUGCAUCCUAUACUGCCCCAGCCAUUUGUUUAUCGAGUCAACAGCCAAUAUUGUUCUCUGCUUCUUUUAUUCAUUGUUAAAGAAUGUUAUAAUUCUGCAUUCUCCAUCCCCUCGGUACUCCAUUGCUUGUGCAUUCUUGUGAGUUUUAUUAACACACAGUUUUUUUCAUGUAGUGCAGAUAAUGUGGACAACAAAAGGCUUUGAUAGAAUCGUCUUUGGCAUGUUCCAUUAGGGCGGCGAUAACGAUGUAACUUGGUUGCGUUAUGCUUGUCCAGAUAUUGUGCAAAUCUUGCAGUUAAUUUGUGGACAGUGACAUGAUGGGAAAGCUCGUCUGACACAUACUUGUACUGUCUCUACCGUCCGCUCUGUGGUUCAUAUCUAAGCCGAAGGUUCUCUGUAGAAACAUCUCCUAUUGCCAACUUGUAUCUAAGGUUUGUCCUGUUAACUGGAGAGGUAAAAGACCUUUCCAUUGCAUAAGAACCUAAUGAUUGUUCCAUAUAUGUGUAUACCUGAGGGUCAACAGGGAAACGGAGUUAAGCCUAGUAAAAAGGUUUUGAUUGGUUGGUUGGUUUUGAUUAAAUAAAAGAUCUUCAUUUCUUUGGCAAGUUGUCCUGGAAUCAGUGGGAUAAGAGCCGAAGGACCAGGUCUCCAGUAAACAAUGAGGGUUCUGGCUUCCGUUAAUUCCUGUUGGACCCCUCAAUGGACACUAUCCCUCACAUCCCCCACCCUGCCAUGUCCAUGGAACACACAUGAAUGAAUGAAAACAUGAGAACCCAAAGAGCCAUUUGAUUUUAAAUAUUUGAAUGAGCGAAAUGACCAGUUUAAGAGUCAUUAUUGUCCCCAGAACAUUUACAUCCAUCAUGACUUCUGGGUCCUGCUGCUCUGCCACACGCCAAACCCAGCUCGACCUUUCCCGUCUCCCAGUCCGACCUGCACCUCCCAGCCACCAGCAACAGAUGCUGCUCCACCGUCAAAUGGCCUACAAAGCAAACUGCACUACUUUAAUCCCAUGUGUAGCCAGCAUUAAAAAUUGGAUAGAGACAGAUAAGAUUAGAUUAUGCCUGCGGGAUUUGAGAAAAUGUGAAAGCCUCAUUUAGGCUUUAACAUAAUCUCCUUUCCCUCCCAGCUAGCAUCAAGCCCCCCAGCAGAUGCCAGAUACACUUUGUAUAGUUGUCUUAUUUUAUUUUAUCCUCGUCUUUUUGGAUUUGGUCCUUUAUUGUAUUAGGAGGACUGUACCGCUGCUUUCCGUGGGGAUUGUGCAGCAUGCAGAAAAGCUUUGCUUUUCAAACAAACAUUUUGGGAUGUUGGGCCCCCACAGUGCGGGUUCAUCGACUGAAGGUGGCAGCUUUUACGCUGAUUUCUGCUUCUUCACAGCGAGAAAUCUGAUUCCUAUGAAGCACAGCUAGAUCGGCCGUGACCAAAUCAUACUGAGUGCUUUCAGGAAAUGAUCUUUGUCUCCAUUUGAAAAGCAAUCUGCACGGCCGUCCAUUGUGUCUGACUACAAUAAAAUGUUCUUUUUCAAGUAUUUGUCCUCUAAGAACCACAUUGUUUCAAAGCAUUGGAAAGGCAGAAAGUUAAUGGUUUCAUAUUUACUUCAUUUCAGGGCUCAGAGUCGAUCUUUCAGGGGAGUAUUCGCUGCUGUCGAGACCCCGUUUACAGUCAAGUGUACUUCAUUCGGGAAGGCUGCGACCCUCCAGGAGUAUCAUGGAAAAAUAACUACUUCAACUUCAAUUCAUAUUGUUGUUAUUAUUAUUGUUAUUAUUUAGGAAAGUUUGGCUGUGUCUGCUGCAUCAAUCUGCUGCAAUGGGGUGUUUUUGGCUUCUCGUGGCAGCCAAGAGCCAUUGGUACUAAAAAACACUGAGAUGAGACAACAACGAUGGGACGUCUUCUACCACGUAGUCAAUGGAAUGACACCUGACAAAAGAAAGGAUAUAAGAGUAGUUCUUUGUUAGUAUUUGGAUUAAACACCCUGUGAUAAAGCAAAUACAAACAUAAGAGUUCUUAGAAGAACCUCAUCAAGGUGUUAUUAAAACUAACAUUUGAAAAACAACCCGAUCCCCUGGAUCUAUUAAUGUUAAAACCAAUGAAAAGGAUCAAAAGCUAAAAAGCAUUAUAGUAUAAUGUUAAAAGCAUUUUACAACAAAUUAGUUUAUUAGUCCAAUGUUGUUGACCAAAAAAAGGCGAGUUCACGUAAAAAAUUAUUUUGUCUUAUUUGUGUGUCGAUUUGUUUGUUUGUUCACUGGGUCAGUUUGUGGUGCUGAUGCUGUACUGUGUUGCCGUCUAUGCCCUCAUUUGCAUGAAUUGGGGUGUGCAAAACGCUUGGAACGCUUGUCACUUGGCCCAGUGUACCUAAUAAACUGGUGUACAUACUGCAUGUGUAGUGUGCGUGUGUGUGUGUGUGUGUGUGUGUGGCGGGCUUCUUUUUGCACCAUGUUGGUUGAACAGCAGAUUACAGAGCUGCUUUCAUUCCCAUGGCAGAUCUUAAGCAGCUAUAAGAGGCCCCGGCGGCUCUAAGUAGGACCCUGUUAAAGUGGCCUGCUGGUAAUGCACUCAGUAUACAGUGGGACCAAAUCUCUCCAUCUCCAUCUCUCUCACACACACACACACACACACACAAGCGUCACAACAGGCAGCCAUUUGUUGUUCAGGACGUGUAGCCGGUGCUCUUGGGUAACAUCUUUAUCCUUCCAGCUCAAUCUGGCCUGCAUCUGCCGGGCAGGAAUUACACUGAUCUACUGUGACACGGCCCCCCCCCCCUCCGCCCAGUGCACCCCCCCCCUCACCCCGGCCCCCCUUCCCCUGCUAUUAUAGCCUUAAAAAUGCACUACGGCGACAGAAAAGUCACUUCCAUGCUGAAUCACAGCAUACAAACAAAUGAUGUUUAACAGUAGUCAUGGGGGGUUAAAGGCAUUAAGUAAUAGCAGGAUCCAAGGGACAAUUAGAGAUAUUUAGUAAUAAUAUCUGUAAUUCCAUAUAUA